GGACCUCCCACAUGCUUACUAAGGGCCCCGUCGCCCCCCCCUGUGGGCCGGGGGGGGUUAUUCCGGACCCCACCGGCGAAUUAGUGACCCCCCAAGAGCAGUGAACUGCCCAACUAGGGACCGCAUGGCAAAAGCCAAAAUGACCGCCGCAACCCUCACUAGCUGGGGAAUGGAGGCGGCAACAAGGGAGCAACCUCUGGGAACUGCCUGCAAACCAACGCGGACCAGACUACCACACACUAACUGCGGCCCGCAAACAAUAGCACACUCUGGCAGCACAUCAGACAACUCCACGGAGGGCACGUUCGAGCAAAGCCCAUGUCUGCGAACACCUGAGGCACUGUCCCAC